rnacentral:rRNA from 1 species
CAACUUGACCUCAAAUCAGGUAGGACUACCCGCUGAACUUAAGCAUAU